rnacentral:rRNA from 1 species
AGUGAACGCUGGCGGUAGGCCUAACACAUGCAAGUCGAACGGCAGCACAGUAAGAGCUUGCUCUUAAGGGUGGCGAGUGGCGGACGGGUGAGGAAUACAUCGGAAUCUACUUUUUCGUGGGGGAUAACGUAGGGAAACUUACGCUAAUACCGCAUACGACCUACGGGUGAAAGCAGGGGAUCUUCGGACCUUGCGCGAUUGAAUGAGCCGAUGUCGGAUUAGCUAGUUGGCGGGGUAAAGGCCCACCAAGGCGACGAUCCGUAGCUGGUCUGAGAGGAUGAUCAGCCACACUGGAACUGAGACACGGUCCAGACUCCUACGGGAGGCAGCAGUGGGGAAUAUUGGACAAUGGGCGCAAGCCUGAUCCAGCCAUACCGCGUGGGUGAAGAAGGCCUUCGGGUUGUAAAGCCCUUUUGUUGGGAAAGAAAAGCAGCAGGUUAAUACCCCGCUGUUCUGACGGUACCCAAAGAAUAAGCACCGGCUAACUUCGUG